rnacentral:rRNA from 1 species
UACAGAGGGUGCGAGCGUUGUCCGGAAUCACUGGGCGUAAAGAGCUCGUAGGCGGUUCGGUAAGUCGAGUGUGAAAACUUUGGGCUCAACCCAAAGACUGCACCCGAUACUGCUGUGACUCGAGUCCGGUAGGGGAGUGGGGAAUUGCCUGGUGUAGCGGUGGAAUGCGCAGGAUAUCAGGAGGAACACCGGUGGCGAAGGGCGGACCCACCGUCGUGG